GUUUGGAUUGGUCUGCGGUGUAGCAUCUUGUGUCUAUAAAAUGAGCUGCUCGUUAUGCGUAGAUAAUCCUUUCUACUGCAGUUUAUUCAAAAGAUCGAAUUUUAGCCAUGGAGACCUGCAAAUAUGUUGCUACUGCUCUCAAUAACAUUGCUGCCCUGAAUUUAUCAGGCACUAUCAAUUUAUCAGGCACUAUCAACAAAAGUCAGUGGGAAAAAGUUGUGAAUGACUACUUUCUGGAGGAUGAUUGUGCCAUGCUGACUCUCUCUGACUCUGAAAAUGAAUCAGACGAUGAGGAAAUCCCUGAUUUAGCAUCAGUAGAAUAAGACGGACUCUCCUCCACUAGUCAUACAAGGAGAAUAGUCUAAUGCCUCCCAUCAAAAAGAGAGCUGGCCUAAGCAAGCACAGGUGACACCUGAAGCAUGAGGACUUGCAGAGUGGUGAACUUCAUCAACAACUACACAGAGGAUAAUGCAAUAGCAUUUCCAGGAUGCCACCCAGGACACAAACACUUUGGUGGAAAGCUGCUGCGAUCCCAUGUGACAAAAGCAGCAGUGUGGCGUCUCUAAAAGGAUUCGAUGACAAUACUUGUAUUUUCCAGCGAUACGUGUAGUCGGGCUGUCUUCCUUCAUGGAUCUGUGGAGAAAAUUGCUGCCCCACAUCUCGAGCAAUAAGACCAGGACAGACCUGUACUGGCAGUGUCAGAUGAACAACUAUCAGGUCUUCAGAUCUGCCAAUCUCCCAGAAGCUGUUAAAUCAGCCAAGUUGAAGAAGCAAGAUCAGCAUCUCCUGCUUGUUCAGAGUGAGUGGUCUGUCUACCAGAAGAUGGUUGCUGACUGCAAGACCACCUGUCAAGACCUGCAGUUGUCUCUGGCGUCCCCUACUGAACCAGCAAGCAAAGUGAUCAGGAUGCAUUACAGCUUUGAUUUUGCAUGCGCACUAUCCUUCUGACCCUAUGCAGCCAAGUUCCAUCUACUUUUUAACUCCUCGCAAGUGUGGCUUGUUUGGUGUCUGCUGUGCAGGAAUACCACAACAAGUCAACUAUUGAUUGACUUAACCUGCAUUUGAUCUGGC
rnacentral:lncRNA from 1 species